UCACUCACCUCCACUGCUAAUGGUUUUGCUGCCAGCUCUUUAAACUUGAAUUAAUUUGGCAACUUAGCUCUCAAGUAGAAGUAGGAAAUCUACUUUUGAACAUAGAUCAAGCCAGCUGGAAGCCGAAAGAAAUGUUAGAGAAUUUCUGAAGACAUAGCCAAGUCCCAAGGACAUGACAGAAAAGGUGGCAGAUUCUUGCUUUAGAAGACAAAUGUAAGCAGAUACUGCUGACUUGUGGAAAUAAAUAACCUACUGUGGUCUGAAGAGACUACCAGGAAGAAAACAAACCACCAUGAGGACAAGACAUAGCAUCCCACCUUCCAAUCUA